AGCGAACGCUGGCGGCAGGCUUAACACAUGCAAGUCGAGCGGGCGUAGCAAUACGUCAGCGGCAGACGGGUGAGUAACGCGUGGGAACAUACCUUUUGGUUCGGAACAACACAGGGAAACUUGUGCUAAUACCGGAUAAGCCCUUACGGGAAAGAUUUAUCGCCGAAAGAUUGGCCCGCGUCUGAUUAGCUAGUUGGUGAGGUAACGGCUCACCAAGGCGACGAUCAGUAGCNGGUCUGAGAGGAUGAUCAGCCACAUUGGGACUGAGACACGGCCCAAACUCCUACGGGAGGCAGCAGUGGGGAAUAUUGGACAAUGGGCGCAAGCCUGAUCCAGCCAUGCCGCGUGAGUGAUGAAGGCCCUAGGGUUGUAAAGCUCUUUUGUGCGGGAAG
rnacentral:rRNA from 1 species